rnacentral:rRNA from 1 species
CCUACGGGUGGCAGCAGUGAGGAAUAUUGGUCAAUGGACGGAAGUCUGAACCAGCCAUGCCGCGUGCAGGAAGACGGCUCUAUGAGUUGUAAACUGCUUUUGUACGAGGGUAAACCCAAAUACGCGUAUUCAUCUGAAAGUACUGUACGAAUAAGGAUCGGCUAACUCCGUGCCAGCAGCCGCGGUAAUACGGAGGAUCCAAGCGUUAUCCGGAUUUAUUGGGUUUAAAGGGUGCGUAGGCGGUUGGAUAAGUUAGAGGUGAAAUGCCCGGGCUUAACUCGGGAACUGCCUCUAAUACUGUUGGGCUAGAGAGGAGGUGCGGUAGGCGGAAUGUAUGGUGUAGCGGUGAAAUGCUUAGAGAUCAUACAGAACACCGAUUGCGAAGGCAGCUUACCAAUCUAUAUCUGACGUUGAGGCACGAAAGCGUGGGGAGCAAACAGGAUUAGAUACCCUUGUAGUC